rnacentral:tRNA from 1 species
GGGCCCGUAGCCUAGCCUGGAUAGGGCACCAGCCUUCUAAGCUGGGGGUCUUGGGUUCGAAUCCCAACGGGUCCG